GAUGAACGCUGGCGGCGUGCCUAAUACAUGCAAGUCGAGCGAACAGACGAGGAGCUUGCUCCUCUGACGUUAGCGGCGGACGGGUGAGUAACACGUGGAUAACCUACCUAUAAGACUGGGAUAACUUCGGGAAACCGGAGCUAAUACCGGAUAAUAUAUUGAACCGCAUGGUUCAAUAGUGAAAGACGGUUUUGCUGUCACUUAUAGAUGGAUCCGCGCCGCAUUAGCUAGUUGGUAAGGUAACGGCUUACCAAGGCAACGAUGCGUAGCCGACCUGAGAGGGUGAUCGGCCACACUGGAACUGAGACACGGUCCAGACUCCUACGGGAGGCAGCAGUAGGGAAUCUUCCGCAAUGGGCGAAAGCUUGACGGAGCAACGCCGCGUGAGUGAUGAAGGUCUUCGGAUCGUAAAACUCUGUUAUUAGGGAAGAACAAAUGUGUAAGUAACUAUGCACGUCUUGACGGUACCUAAUCAGAAAGCCACGGCUAACGACGUG
rnacentral:rRNA from 1 species